UGGCUAACUCCUACGGGAGGCAGCAGUGGGGAAUUUUGGACAAUGGGGGCAACCCUGAUUCAGCAAUGCCGCGUGAGUGAAGAAGGCCUUCGGGUUGUAAAGCUCUUUUGUCUGGGAAGAAACGGUAGUAGCUAAUAUCUAUUACUAAUGACGGUACCUGAAGAAUAAGCACCUGCUAACUACGUGCCAGCAGCCGCGGUAAUACGUAGGGUGCAAGCGUUAAUCGGAAUUACUGGGCGUAAAGCGUGCGCAGGCGGUUGUGUAAGUCAGAUGUGAAAUUCCCGGGCUCAACCUGGGAAUUGCAUUUGAGACUACACGGCGAGAGUGUGUCAGAGGGGGGUAGAAUUCCGCGUGGAGCAGUGAAAUGCGUAGAUAUGUGGAGGAAUACCGAUGGCGAAGGCAGCCCCCUGGGAUAACACUGACGCUCAUGCACGAGAGCGUGGGGAGCAAACAGGAUUAGAUACCCUAGUAGUCCAGCUGG
rnacentral:rRNA from 1 species